rnacentral:rRNA from 1 species
GGUGACGGCGAUCAGGGAACCUCGAGUGCCAGGUUACAAAUCUGGCUGUCGUGAUGCCUAAAAAGCAUUGCAUAGCAAGGGCCGGGCAAGACCGGUGCCAGCCGCCGCGGUAACACCGGCGGCUCGAGUGGUAACCGUUAUUAUUGGGUCUAAAGGGUCUGUAGCCGGCCGGGUAAGUCUCUUGGGAAAUCUGGCAGCUUAACUGUCAGGCUUUCAGGAGAUACUGCCUGGCUCGAGGCCGGGAGAGGUGAGAGGUACUUCAGGGGUAGGGGUGAAAUCUUGUAAUCCUUGAAGGACCACCAGUGGCGAAGGCGUCUCACCAGAACGGACCUGACGGCAAGGGACGAAAGCUAGGGGCACGAACCGGAUUAGAUACCCGGGUAGUCCUAGCCGUAAACGAUACUCGCUAGGUGUCGGCCACGGUGCGACCGUGGUCGGUGCCGUAGGGAAGCCGUGAAGCGAGCCACCUGGGAAGUACGGCCGCAAGGCUGAAACUUAAAGGAAUUGGCGGGGGAGCAC